rnacentral:miRNA from 1 species
UAUUAGGUUGGUGCAAAAGUAAUUGCGGUUUUUACCAUUAAUUUUAGUGACAAAAACCACAGUUACCUUUGCACCAACCGAAUAC